rnacentral:rRNA from 1 species
AGGUUCCUACGGGGGGCAGCAGUAGGGAAUCUUCCACAAUGGGCGAAAGCCUGAUGGGGCAACGCCGCGUGGGUGAAGAAGGUCUUCGGAUCGUAAAACCCUGUUGUUAGAGAAGAAAGUGCGUGAGAGUAACUGUUCACGUUUCGACGGUAUCUAACCAGAAAGCCACGGCCAACUACGUGCCAGCAGCCGUGGUAAUACGUAAGUGGCAAGCGUUAUCCGGAUUUAUUGGGCGUAAAGGGAACGCAGGCGGUCUUUUAAGUCUGAUGCGGAAGCCUUCGGCUUAACCGGAGUAG